GUCGCCGGCACCUCAUCUUGAAGCCUCCCCACCGUCUGGAUUGCCGGAAAAAUGCGUCCAAACCUUCCUUCAAGCGCAGCUUGACGCUUCAUGUUCCCAGUCAAAAUUCGAUCGAUCCGGCCACCAAUUAGACCGAGUCUAGUCUUAAUCACCUUCUACACUUCGAAAGCUUUCCAAAGACACCAAGAAUACGAAUUUUCAUCGAGCGGUUUAUCCGAAUCGAGCUUGAAA
rnacentral:misc_RNA from 1 species